UUCUUUUCGUUCUUCUUUUCUUUUUCUUUUCUUUUUCUUUUUCUUUUUCUUUUUCUUUUCUUUUCCUCCUCCUCCUUCUUCUUCUUCUUUUCUUCUUCCCGGACUUGCUUUAACUGAAACAGGGGAUCUUAAAUCCCCUCAUUGGAAUUUCGAUCGACGGUGCAGCCAGCGUGGGGUGGCCGUCGGCAGGAGGGGGGAUGACCCAACGAC
rnacentral:lncRNA from 1 species